rnacentral:lncRNA from 10 species
UUAGUCUUUUUGUUUUAUUCAAAUGUCAAAAUGUAAGUUCCAAGAUACAAAUUAUGUUUGAUUUAAAAACAUCGACUAUGCUUUGUUAACAACUUCCAAAGCCAAAUGUAAGUUGUUGUGACUAAAAUGCCUCCCCAGUACAUUUCUGGAGGAUUAACCUUAAUAUGUUUAGCAGCUAGUCUGAUUUCCACUCUACAAAAAGGAAAAUGAUGCUAUAAGGGAAAGAUAAUGAACAAAGUUAUAAUAUGUAAGACUUCCUGGGAAGAACUUGAACCAUUACUAGGGAGACCAAGGAGAGGUGUUUCUGUUCCAUACUAUAGCAACCAGCCUUAACACUCUGUAAUACAAAGUGCAUUUCUGGUCCUACCCAGCCAUAAAUACCAUACAUCCCUUUUAUUAAUUAUAUCAAAGAAAGCCCAACUCUUCAUCAACAAGAUUUAGAAUUUCCUAAUAGCUUUAGUUUUUCCCUAAAAAAAACUGUGUAAAAGGAAAGCUCGAGUCUAUAAACCAAAAAAAAAAACCCACAAAUAUUUACAUGUACUCUGAUUUAAACAAUUUCAAAUGAGAUUAAACUGAAUGAAUAUAGAACUUGUACCACCAUUAUAGAAGGAAAGAAAAAAAGCUUAAAAGGUACCCAAAUAUUUUAAUAUUUAUGGAAUUAAAUGAUACAAUUUUCAUUAAGACCCCAAAUAUCCCACCACUUUUUAGCUUUGCUGUAUAAUGAAGGUUAGUAACUUAUAUGUUAGUGUGAACACAUUUACUUUGGCUGAUAGCAAAACAUAGAUUUUUUAAAAUGUUCUAAGAAGCCAAAGAAUUAGACCAAAAUGUUCAGCACCAAAAAACAAAACAAAAAAACUAGCUCAAUACUUCAGGUUAAAUACACAAUAUCAAGAAAUUUUAUUUAGGUCAGCACAUGGCUGUUACUAUGACUGAUACUGCAUGCUAUUUCUAGAAUUAGAUAUGUAUCUUUCUGGCUGGAUGCGGUGGCUCAUGCCCGUAAUUCUAGCACUUUCAGAGGCCAAGGUGGCCGAUUGCCUGAGCUCAGGAGAGACCAGCCUGGGCAACAUGGCGAAACCCCGUCUCUACUAAAAAUACAAAAAAUUAGCCAGGUGUGGUGGUGCACGCCUGUAGUCCCAGCUACUCAGGAGGCUGAGGCAUGAGUAUCGCUUGAACCUGGGACUCAGAGGUUGCAGUGAGCCAAGAUUGUGGCACUGUACUCCAGCCUGGGUGACACAGCGAGACUCUGUCUCAAAAAAAUAAAAUAAAAUAGAUAUAUAACUUUCUGAAGAUUUAAGCCAGACUUCAAUUCCAUGUACUCACCCAUAGUACUAAAAUGGAUUAAAGAUGGUAAAUAAGGCCGGAUGAAUAAAAUUCCAAUAUUUUCAGAAACACAUGUGGGUAAAAAAGGUAACACUAAAGAAUGGUAUCUCAAUAUUCAAUUUUAAAGAAUUUAUUUUCCCAUUUGUAGAGUAACAUUAUUGUAAAAUCUACAGUUAUCGCAAUACCUGCAUUGCUUAAAAGAAUUCCUAAGAAUUUUGUUAAAGCAUAUUUUUUUUAAAAAACUGAACCAAAAUAAUGUACAUUUUAUCUCUAAACAUUGUGUCAUUAAAGUCCAUAUAACAUCUUCCGUAAAAUCAAUGUGAUGUUACAAUUAUAUACAUGAUCUGAUUCUUC